GCCACUGAAAAGAAAUCUUCUUUUUGAUCUACCCUGCUGUGUAGGAGUGCUGUGUAGUCACAGAGUACCUUCACCAGUUGGCUUCUGCUGGAUAUUAAUCUACUGAAACUCCAUCUUGGAUCAGCCAUGUCCGAAGUUUACUGAUUUUUCUCUGGUAGAUGUAUGGAUAUUGAUCAGUUUCCACAGAAAUAAACAGAGAAAAAAAAGGAGGCAUUACUUUCAUAGUGACCUACAUAUACCAUGAUUCACAAGCAGGGAAGGAGAAGUUUAUUACAGUUUGAAGCAUAAAGAGAAAUUCAAUUAAAAAAAGUCAUGAUCAGAAUCCUAAGGAUGAAUUUGAAAACAACAAAAGAUGUUCUGGGGCAAAACUCCGGGACAGGAAAUAGCUGAGCCUGUCUGACACCACUGCAGCGUUAGACUCACUGGAGCAGCUGGGGCUCAUUACUUCAUUGGGUAUUCCUUGGCUCAGGCCAAACUCUCUUGGCUCUUUUUCACCUCUUCUGAUGCACAGCUCCUAGAAAAACUGUGUCAAGAGCCUGUGUGCAUGAAUGCUCUUAAUAGCACUGAUAAGCAUCACUGAUAAGCACCCCCCUCUAUUCCCUCCACUCAAGGACUGCGUUACGUCUCAGACCCUGCCCAAGUUAUGCUAUAAAUAUGCCUGCUUAUAGCUCCAGCUGUGUUACAGCAAUGCCUGGCAAUGGGCCCUUUUCAUCUUUUUUCAUCUGGCUGGAUCCUAAUUUAUGGACUGAGUUCCUAGCUUGGUGUUGGACCUGCCUUGAUGUUGUGAACUUGCCUGGUGAUUGUGUCUGACUCUGUCAGAGCUGACCCUCCCUUGCUUGCUUGUGUUUCUGGCUUCAUAUGGGAACCAAUACUAUUUGAUAACUUGCAUCUGUCCCCCACCGCUCCCUUGCAAAAUGGAGGUUACAUUGUAAGAGUAAAAACCAGGGACAGUUUGGGACUCCAGGAGAUGAAAGGCUACAGUUUGUCUUAAAAGGGUAGAGGUGCUUCCACUUCCUGACCUUCCCUCUGUUGCUCUUGUGAGGAAUUAAAUUAACCCAGACAGAACCAUGAUGAUUUUGACUGCCAUGUGUACAUGAAAUGAAAUUUGCCCUUUUCCUUAUUCUUGCAGAUCCAAGAAGUCCUGGCUAAAAUCAGGCGUUUACAUGCAUAUUAGUGUUUACAUGUACAGUAUGGGCAAGGAGUGCUACUGUGGCAUGACUUGCCCUAGCCCUGCCCCAAAAAACGUAAAUAGCCUUCUGGCAGGAGAUACUGGGGUGCAGAUUCUGUGACUUUGUAUUAUAGGUGGAGGAAUGGAGAGGGAGGGAGAGCUGGAUAUUUUUCUAUUCGCUUUCCUGUGCGUAACACACGUUUCUGCACGGAUAUUCAGCAACAGUCAUUGAUGAUCGCAUUAGCAGUAAUGUCUCUUGAUGUUUGCAGUCCCUCUUAAGGAGGACAGGAAGUGAAAUACUAAAAAUUGGUCUUCCAUGACUGAUGGAAAAGUAACUCAAUUGCUUUUCUGAAUUGUCAGCUACAUCUUGCGCAUCUCUACACAG